UACGUAGGGACCGAGCGUUAUCCGGAAUCAUUGGGCGUAAAGAGCGUGUAGGCGGCCUUUUAAGUCCUGCGUGAAAUCCUGCGGCUCAACCGCAGACGGUCGUGGGAAACUGGAAGGCUAGAGUGCGGGAGAGGAGAGUGGAAUUCCCGGUGUAGCGGUGAAAUGCGCAGAUAUCAGGAGGAACACCGAUGGCGAAGGCAGGUCUCUGGGCAUUAACUGACGCUGAGGAGCGAAAGCAUGGGGAGCGAACAGG
rnacentral:rRNA from 1 species